rnacentral:rRNA from 1 species
UACGUAUGGUGCAAGCGUUAUCCGGAUUUACUGGGUGUAAAGGGAGCGCAGACGGCAGUGCAAGUCUGGAGUGAAAGCCCGGGGCUCAACCCCCGGACUGCUUUGGAAACUGUAUAGCUGGAGUGCAGGAGAGGUAAGUGGAAUUCCUAGUGUAGCGGUGAAAUGCGUAGAUAUUAGGAGGAACACCAGUGGCGAAGGCGGCUUACUGGACGAUGACUGACGCUGAGGCUCGAAAGCGUGGGGAGCAAACAGG